rnacentral:siRNA from 1 species
GGUGUGUCCUUCCACUGAUGUGCA